rnacentral:piRNA from 1 species
UAGGGUCCGCUCUUCAGUGUGA